UCUAUUAGUGUAGAGAAGUGUAUGUUAUAGAUAUAGAUAAUGCUUCGCAUGAGAUAUGACCUAUGGUGCUUAUAGAGCAAGGGCGAAACGCGUACCCCCUUCUGAUUUACGAACGCACCUUGCGCGUGGCGGCCAUGUUUGUAUCUUGAGAGUUUUCUGCGGUUUUUUGUCCUACUAUUCCUUACGUGAUUGGAACUCCGUCUUCUAAGAAUAUUCACAAAAAAUAUUUGCGUAACAGUUGGAUUAUCUAAAACUACAUCAUUACAAAGUUUCACGAUGUGCUGCAUAGUAAAAGGAUGCACUCGAAGUAGAUUAACUAAUAACGACGCAAGGUUUUACUCCAUUCCCAAAGUGAGAAAUGACGAAACAGAGUUGUUGGUGGAAAGAAGAGCUCUUUGGUUAAAAAGAGUUAACAUUAAAGAAAAACAACUGCUUGUUUCUGGUAAAGUUUGCGACAAGCACUUCAUUUUAGGCAAACCUAGUUAUGAACGUGAUAUAUCUAAUCCAGAUUGGGCACCAACUUUGUUAUUAGAAAACAACGAACAGCUUUCAGCAAACAGGUGUCAGAGAAGAUAUAUACAUAGCCAGGCUAGAGCAUUAUUAGAUAUUUCAGCAAGGUUUGCUAGGAAAUUAGCUGAACUAAAAAUUGUUUUAUGCUUGACUAUAACCAUUCGUACGAUGCUUCCAUGACCAUGAGUGCGAUCUGUCUGCUUAACGGUAAAGCAUCGUACGAAUGGUUAUAGUCAAGCAUAAAACAAUUUUUAGUUCAGCUAUAGGCCACAGUGGUGCGCAUCCGCGUAAGCUGCGCACGACUUUUGGCUUGUCGCGUACUUUUGAAUUGCAAUAAGAUCUAUACCUUUACAGUUUUGUUUUCAUUUUUUACAAUAUGACUCAACUAGGCAACGGUAUGCUUUAAUUUUAAUUAAGGUCACGCCUAUUUCCCCCCGGCAGUCGGGGGGCGCUAAUGUCAAAAUGUGCUAUUUCCCCCCGGCUGCCGGGGGGCGCUAGUGACAAAACUGUCUAUUUCCCCCCGGCCAGUAGGGGCGUUGGUGUUUAAAUAGCUAUUGCACACCUGAAUCAGUGAACACAAUCAGGUGGAUACUACGGGAAAAUACAGUACAGUAGUUGUUACUUCAAGCAGAGUCAACACUGACCGCUGCUUCAAGUAAAAGAAAACGACCAGUAAAAGAUAAAAUUAUGUAACAAGUAGCUUGCUUGCUUGUUAUUUAAUUUUAUUUCACCUGAUUGUUGCAAGUACUACCCUCUAUUGUCGCAUUUUAUAACUAUAAAUGUUUCCCCUUCUGGGUCAAUCCGCGCCAACUCCACAAAUCGGUGGCGCGAUGAAACCUCCGAUUUUAUUCAAAUUUGCACAGUAGGUCAAGAACUACUAUGCAAUCACAACCCCUAAAGGAUUUUUAAAAAUAUUUAGCCGUUAAAAAGUUACGGUGUUUUUAGUUUUGAUUUUUGACACUUUCCCGUGGGCCUCUUUUGAAUACAGUUUUUUAAAAUUUUCA